rnacentral:rRNA from 1 species
CCAGCCGUAAACGAUGGACGCUAGGUGUGGGGAGGAUAGCCUUUCCGCGCCGAAGCUAACGCAUUAAGCGUCCCGCCUGGGGAGUACGACCGCAAGGUUAAAACUCAAAGGAAUUGACGGGGGCCCGCACAAGCAGCGGAGCAUGUGGCUUAAUUCGAAGCAACGCGAAGAACCUUACCAGGGCUUGACAUUCAGGUGAAGCGGCGGAGACGCCGUGGCCGAGAGGAGCCUGAACAGGUGG